rnacentral:rRNA from 1 species
ACGGGAGGCAGCAGUGGGGAAUAUUGCACAAUGGGCGCAAGCCUGAUGCAGCGAUGCCGCGUGAGGGAAGAAGGUUUUCGGAUUGUAAACCUCUGUCAACAGGGACGAAAAUGACGGUACCUGUGAAGGAAGCUCCGGCUAACUACGUGCCAGCAGCCGCGGUAAUACGUAGGGGGCAAGCGUUAUCCGGAUUUACUGGGUGUAAAGGGAGCGCAGGCGGUUUUUUAAGUCUGAUGUGAAAGCCCGUGGCUCAACUGCGGGACUGCAUUGGAAACUGGAGAACUAGAGUGUCGGAGGGGCAAGUGGAAUUCCUAGUGUAGCGGUGAAAUGCGUAGAUAUUAGGAGGAACACCAGUGGCGAAGGCGGCUUGCUGGACGAUAACUGACGCUGAGGCUCGAAAGCGUGGGGAGCAAACAGGAUUAGAUACCCUGGUA